AUUGUGGAAAACCAUAUACCAAUUUUGAUCAUUGUCAUAUUAUUAUUGUGGUGAUACUAUUCACAUAUUGCUCAAGUCUUGUAAAGAAUUCUUGUGGUGACAUACAACUUCAAGACAUUCUUGAAGAAAGGUUAAAGGAGCAAUGUUCAUAAGGACUCAAAGACAAUCAUCAAAGGAGGUUCAACAAUUUCCACACAUGGAUUCAGGUUAGCGUCCGCUCAUGUAGUUUAAUUCCGAAUUGUUCAAUAUGAAGGUUAUUGUCUUUAGUAGGAAUCAUAAUUCUAACAAUUGGUAUCAGA
rnacentral:lncRNA from 1 species